GUUACUGAAUGGAAUCUGUUUCAGCGCUUUUAACCAUGUCUGGCUUUGUUUCCUUCUGGUAGACCCCAUGCUGUCCUGCAACCCUCGGCCUCCCAGCUGAGAUCCCAGACGUGAGUCAAGCUGUCUUGGACCAUCAAGUCCAGUGGAGCCAGCCCCCACGACCAGAACCACUCAACCGAAAAUACAGAAAUUCAGAGCUUUGGUCUGGUCGGACUGAUUGACACCUACCAAUCAAUCGAUUGAUCUACCAGCAAUGAGGUGGGAAGCUCGGCCUCGGUCUCCUGGACCCUGAGUUGAUCCAUGCCAGAGCAUGCCCAUCAUUUUCUGUAGACCGGGCAGCUUUUCGCAGAGCUACUCACGGAAUAACACAUCUUAUGAAGAGAUUGCUGCAGAUGUAGCGUGCACUUUAAUUUAGGGGUGUCCUUGUUGCGCCGUUAGAGCCAUCUGUCUGGACCUCCAGGAUUUGUCUCACCUGAUGAAGGCUGCCGCAAAUGGGAUUUUUGCCUGAAAUUUUACAUUUUUAGAAGGAGGUUUAAGAUUGCUUAAAUAGAGAUUAAAUCUGUCUCAUUGAGC
rnacentral:lncRNA from 1 species